rnacentral:lncRNA from 1 species
UGUCACCCUUACACACUGCUGACACAGGCGCAUUCCUUCCCUGAAGAGAUCAGGACACAGACACACACAGAAGGGGACCAGCUGAGGACACAGGGAGAAGACGCCGUCUACAAGCCAAGGAGAGAGGCCUCAGGAGAAACCAGCCCUGAGGACACCUUGAUCUUGGACUUCCAGCCUCCAGAUGAUCCUGAGAAGCUGCUACUGCUUGGUAAGGGGCUGAGAGUCCAGCCGAUCGCUCCCCAGGGAAGUCCCCUUCCUCGGAGGAACAAUGCUUUUCGAGAAACCCCACGGCUGACCAGAGCCUGUGCCACUGCCUGCUGCUGCAGAGCGAAGUGGGCUCCAAGGGGCGCUGUCACUCACGGCUCUGCUGCGUCAGCGCCCAGCGUGCUGGGCAGCAUUGGGUUCCCCAAAAACACAUGCUGAGCUCCUAACCCCUGGUACCUGUGAAUGUGACCUUAUAUGGAAAGAGGGUCUUUGCAGAUGUCAUCAAGUUCAGGUGAGAUCAGGCUGAGUCAGGGUGAGCCCGACAUCCAAGGACUGGGAUCCUCAUAAGAGGAGAAUUGGG